GAUGAACGCUGGCGGCGUGCCUAAUACAUGCAAGUCGAGCGAACGGACGAGAAGCUUGCUUCUCUGAUGUUAGCGGCGGACGGGUGAGUAACACGUGGAUAACCUACCUAUAAGACGGUGAUAACUUCGGGAAACCGGAGCUAAUACCGGAUGAUAUUUUGAACCGCAUGGGUCAAAAGUGAAAUACGGUCUUGCUGUCACUUAUAGAUGGAUCCGCGCUGCAUUAGCUAGUUGGUAAGGUAACGGCUUACAAAGGCAACGAUGCAUAGCCGAGCUGAGGGGGGGUACGGCCACACAGGAGGUGAGACACGAUCCAGACACUGACGGGAGGCAGAGACAGGGAAGGGUGCGCGAUGGGCGAAAGCCUGACGGAGCAACGCAGCGUGAGUGAUGAAGGGCUGCGGAUCGGAAAACUCUGUUAUUAGGGAAGAACAUAUGUGUAAGUAACUGUGCACAUCUUGACGGAACCGAAACAGAAAGCCACGCCUAACUACGU
rnacentral:rRNA from 1 species